CUGCGCUAUCGCACAUAUACUAAAAUUGGAAUGAUACAGAGAUUAGCAUGGCCCCUGCACAAGGAUGACAUGCAAAUUCAUGAAGCGUUCCAUACAAUC
rnacentral:snRNA from 1 species